AGAGCUAAUACAUGCCCCAUUCCAAGAUCCUGCCACAAGAACAGUCACAUCCAUGCUUUAGGCAGUUCUCCUCAGCUAUCACUGCAGUAAGAAGUUACCAUUUUCAAGACUUGCUCACCUUUACAGGUUAAAAGUAUUCUAAUUUACAUCUGUAUUUAUUUUCCCACAAGAAUUUUCACUUAUGUGGAUUAAUAUUCAACAUCAUUUUCUAGAAGUAUACAGUAACUUCAAUUUACAAGAAACAUUGCAUAAAUGCUGAAUCACAUUUCCUGAAUAUAAUGAAAAAACAAGCUAUCAUUUAAAUAACUACAUUUGAAGAAGAGAGGAAAUAAUAGAGGAAUAACAGGAAAUUCUGCAGUGAUCCUUUUAAAACUCUACAUAAUAUCCCGUAUCACUUGGAAUCUAACUUAUAAUGAAUGAAGUUACUUCGUGUUAUUCAUCACUGAAAAUUCAAGAGGGCUAUGUUUGCUUCUUCUCAUUUACUAUCACUAUUGUACUUCUGGGAAAGAUAAUUUGACAUUCAUGUCAAAAAAUGAACAUGGAACAAUUUGACAGAUCUCUCUGGGAAGAUCAGAGCAACUCUAUUACAUGAAGAAAACAGAGACAAGGCAAAGAACAGAAUUUUGGAUCAGAGUGAAAAAAAACAGUUGCUAAUUACCCUGCAGUUUCUUAGUACUACACUCCAUCUUGCAUCAGAAAAGUAAAGCUAUGUGCUGAUCCACGUAAUUUGUUAAGUGGAGUUUUUUCAAGAUCUGAUUAGUUUAAUGAGCAUGUAAUUUUAUUCACAGUUCCAUCUACCUAAUACAGGGCAAAUGCAUGAUUGAACAUUCAAUGUUUAGAAUAGAAAUCAUGUUAAGUGGAAAAAUUGUUUUUUUUUUUUUUUAUCUUGCAUGAAAGAGAAACGUGAAGGAUGAUCUGGCAGUUCAGGACAACUCCUGGGGAUCUCUUUAACAAGUUGCUGUUUAAAUGUUCUUGAUGACUUAAACUCAUUCUCUUUUAAGUUCCUGUGUCCUUUUAUUUUUUAAAGCAGCACCUUGCACAAAUAGUAUCUCCUACAGAAAGUAGUUCCAAAGAUUUUGGGAAAAAUCAGCUAGCAUCUGCAGUGAGUCACAGAGCUGCAUAGAAAGAAAUUAUGACGUAAUUACUUUAAGACCAGCAGAGCAUAGAGUUCAUAGUGGUGUUUGACAUCCGUCUCAGAAUACUGGAUAUGGUGGAGAUGCUGAUCUGAGGGCAGGGUAACUGAAGCCCACCAAAAAUAAAUACCAGAGUAGGCAGUGAAGACAUCCUGUAGUGAGAAAAACUAACUGAAAUGAACAGUUCAAAAAGAAUAUGUUUCUGCUUGGGCUCUGAGAGGCAGACAGACCACAUACAGGAGAGUUUGCAAGAGAACAGCAUAGCGGAUCAGGAGUAGCAGAUGUGACUCAACGUGUCUGCUGCCAGAAAGGCUUCCCAAAUGCCUGAAGAACAGAGGUAUCUUGUCAAGAACAGUUUAAGUCAGAACAUCUGUGAAUUCUGAUCCUUUCAUUAGAAGACUCACCUUCAAUCUGCUUACAUUUUAAGUAUUAUUUCUUCACCAUCUGAUCAGUUGAAACAGCUGGAUUUUUUUUUUUUUUAUGGAAUACAAGAAUAGCUUUAUUUAACUGUUUCUCUGACAAGCCACAGUCACAUUGCCAUAUCUGCUUAGAUUUCGUCUAGGAAUACUUGUCCUAGUAUCAGAUAUCAGACUAAAAAUUUCAGUCUUUCUCCAUUGAGACACUAAGAGCAUCUUUCGAAUGGUUUUGAAUUGGGAGUUAACAAAGGCUGUUGUUCGGGUUUUCUAUUUCUUUCUUUACUAGUCUCUGCUCCCCACCCAGCAGACUUCACCAGAGAGCUGGGACACAGCCCACAUGCUCUUCAUCCCAUGCUGGAGGAGUUAGAGGGUGCUGCAUUUGAGGCUAUGGAGACCUGAUCCUCUGCCAAGUUCCAUCGUAGUGCAACUACUCCUUUUCUAGGAUUCCUUUAAAUUUAAACAUUGCAUCUCUGACCUGUUCCAGCACUUUGCAAAGCAAAAGAUGGAGUGGAGGCAAAAUGAGACUAUUUCUAUCCCUCUCUGUGAUGAUGUAGAAACCAUGAAAGCAAGGUUAACAUGGAAACUGUGAGACUUCCAUAUAACAGCUCUAGUAAUUUGGUAUCAUUUUAUGAGUACAUUUAGACAGAGUUGGUGUGUCACUGAUCUUUGCAAUAUCGAUUUACUACCUUAGUGAAUCAAAUCCAACAGUGUUUAAUCUGCCUUUCAAAAAAAGUCCUAUUUACUACAAUGAUAUCAGAAAAUACAAAGUUGCAUUUCUUCUAGUUUCUGUAGUAGUCUGCACACCCAUUUAUCCUUCGGUAAUUUCUAUAUGUAUGUUAAUUGCUGUCAUUUGGUAAUUUCUAUGUGUACAGUACAAGGGCAGAAAGAUAUGGGAGCUAAACUAAGGAGACAUACUGAAAUACAUUUUUUUUUUUAAUUUAUCAAUUAAAAAUAUUAAACUCAAUAUUGAUGUGAAGGCUUUUCCUUCCAUUUUUUCUUCUCCCUCACUCUUCUAUUUUAUUUUAAUAAAAUACAGAACAACAAGAAGAACUUCUCCUAGCUUUGGUUUCCAUUACUGAGAAAUGUUAGAGUAACCUAAAACAUCAAGAAGACAAGUAAAAUGAAAAAAUUUUCAUGAAAUAAUUUUGCAGGAAACCCCAAUGAGUUCUUAUGUUCAUAAUUUCCAUUACUUAGAAGGAAUAGACAAAAAUACUAGUAAGAAGGCACUGUGAGACAAUAAUAAGAACUAAAAGUCCACACACAGUUACAGUUCAUGUAUUCACAGAUCUUUACAUGCAAUAGCCUGGGAGGUGAUACAAGUAACCAUAUGAUCAAGGAGCCAAUGAGGGGAACUACUCUGUUGGAUUUGUUACUAACAUACCGGGCAAAACUGGUUGGGAAUAGGAGGAAGAACAGACAUUCAGUAGAGCACAGCAAUGGGACAAGGAGUGAAGGGCAUGAACUGAAACACGGGGUGUUGUGCCAAAACAUGUGAGAAAGAAAUCCAUACUGUGCGGGUGAUUAAGUAAAGGCACAGGUUGUUUACAGAGGUAAUGAAGUUUCUGUCCUUGGAGAUAUUUGAACCCAGAUCAGGUACAUACCUGAAGAAUUUGGUGCAGGUAACUCUGCUUGAGCAGAGAGUUGUACUGGAUGAUCUCCAGAACUUCCCCACCUCUGCCAUUCUCUGAUUCUUUAUAAGGAGUAGUCACUUAAUAAAAAUAGCUUAUUCAAAAGAAAAUUAUUAUGGAGUCUGACUAUGGCAAUCUCUAGUGAUUUAAGCAUUUAUGUUAAUGAGGCAAUGUUUGACAAUUUAUGUCAAAUUGACAGAGGAAAGAUGAAAGGUUGGUGUGUAGAAGACAAGGCUCAACUAAUAGCUAAAUCCCUGGUUGAAGCCAGGCUGCUAUACCCUAGAGGGCAAAUUCAGACACGCAUACAGAAAGUAUAUCACUGGAGACCAUUUCCAGUGAGUAACAAUUAAGCAAGGCAGAAUCUGAGCCUUCUAGAUUGCUCAGAAACUGGAUUUGAUAAGAGGGAAGGAAAAAAAAAAUCUCAUCUCUGCUAUGAAAAAAAAGCCAUUUAUGUAUGAUCAGCAUGAAUAUGAAACACUAAGCUUUUUUUUCCUUCAGUAACUAUUUUUAAACAUCUUUUAUACAAAAUACAAGCUGUUAAAUGACAUCUCGUGUGUGCUGUGAAGACAAUCUCAUGCCUUUAUCUCUGGCAAAUAGUGAUGGGUUUAUGGCACUACCUUCCAGCAAAGGCAAUACCACAUAGCAGGGCUCUGAGUUCAGAAAAUCCAUUCAGGGGCAUUCUUUGGGAACCCAGCACCGUUAUGUCUUCUUCCUCACUAAGUUGAUUCUGCAAAGUCUCCAUCAUGAACUGUCUCACACUCUCAGGUGCUGAACACCAGGGAUUAUGUGAUAUUUCUCAGCAGAAGUUUAGCUCCACAGUCACUAAAAUGCCACACUCCCUAUUCUAGGAACUUGUGUCUUCUAACCUGUUCCCCUUCUGAAGAAACACCAGUUGUGAUAGCAGUCACUAAUGUCACCAUGUGGGCUGAGAAGACUUCUUCUUGCCAGGGAGUUAAGGCGGGUGGAAGACAAAAGUAAAAACAAGCUGUGGUUAUUCAUACCUCUCAAUGCAGGGAUUUCAAAAACAGAGUUCUGUAUUUACCACCCCUAUCUUUGAAAGCUUCCCCUCCUCUCCCACCUCCUGUCACUUCUGAAACACUUAGGACUGGCUGUGCACUAACAGCUCCGUUGUUGGGGAGCAGCAUCUCUGUUGGUUACACUGUAUCACAAAUGACACCUCCAUACUUUGUCUAUUUUCUUCUCUUGAUUUGAUAACUUGCAUUUAAUUACAUUGGAAUUCAAGCAGAGCACAGACUAGAGCUGACUCACACCUCUUUGCUUUGAAGAACUAGUUCAGAAGAACAGGUACUAAGAAACUUUAAGGCGAUUUCAUUGCAUUUGGGUGACUUUAGAUGGUAGCAAGACAUGGCACAUGGAAAAGGUGAUGCAACUGUUUUGUUCUUAAGCAGCUGUUCUUACUUACUAGCAGAUUUCAAGCAGUUUGAGAAUACUUAUUUCCUUCUACAGAAAUUAAACUGAAGCAUCUAGAAAAAGUCCCAAACAGCUCCCACCUCUAGAGAAAUAAACAUGUUUUUAUUAAAUUUUAUUUUCAGCACAAACAUAACUAUUACUGCAACAAGUAUGACAGACCUAUACCCUAGUACAUUCACCUUCGGCUAGAUAAAAACAUGCUUCUACUCUCUCCAAAAUAAAUGUUCCCCUUUCCUGAUUAAUAAAUCAUAUCCAUUCUUAAAGUAUUCUGUCAUUCCAUGUCAGGAGCACAACUUAUCAACAGAGAAGAGCUGAUUAAAGCCUGUGCAUGUAAAACAUGAGCAAUACACAGCAAAUCCUUUCAAAGCUGUAUGCUAUUAUAAAGGAUUGAUUUCAGGCAGAAUGGCUGAACAUAGAAAAAAUGAACUUCAGAGAAUAGAAUCUGACCGUUAUAUUCUAGAGAGAAGUGAGGUGACAGGCCAACUAGAAAAGAGCAGUUUUGUCUGGAUAAUAAAGUGACAUUUGAGGAAACACAAGAAGAGAUCAGCAAACCAUCAGUUACACACAAUAGCAGCCAACUGAGAAAGGGAAACAAACUUAAGACAAAGAUGCUUAGAUUUUCCUGGAAUUUAAGCAAUGUAGAGAUCGGAAACAAAUGCUGAGGUGUGAAGGGCCUGAGAGAAGACUCCAGAAUGGGCAUAAAACUAGUGGAAAGUGUUGUUCACACUGAGGACUUAUGGAUGUCUAGCAACACAGUGAGAACAACUGUGUACAACCUAAUUCAGAGAGUUUUCAUACAAUUCCCUUUGCUUUUCCAUGAACUACUGUGAGUAGUUCAUGCUACCAGUGCUCAGGUUUACAUAACCACAGAUGCUAACUAGCAAUUCAUGCUUACUGAAUUUUGGUAUCAUGAAGAAGGAAUAUUCCAGAGAAGGUAUACUAGGGAAAGCAGCAAGUGGGAUGUACAGAUAAAAGUGGUUGAAGCAAGUAGUACGCAGCUUGAUAGCUCAUGGAGCUGGAGCCUCAGAGACAGGGAAGACAUAGAGAGAAUGGGACAACAAGUAGAUGUAUUUGAAUUACUUGAAUAUAAAUGGAAGAUUAAAAGAGAAGAAGAAUUAAACAAAUGAGGAAAAAUGUCAUUUUAAUUUAACUAAUUAUUUGUAUGAAACAGGAGAUAAAACAAAUAUCAAUUAUUCAUUGAGAGCCACAUUCACUGGGUUAGAUUUAAAUAUAUUUAAAAAUGAAUAUGGCUUUUACACAUUUAAGAUGUUUAUUUAAUGGAAAUGAACCAUGUGAUGCACUAAGGGAUUAUUAUUUAAAAAUAGCAGCACUUUAUGAUGCAGAAAAAAAGGCGGAAUCUUAAUAGUUGCUUUCAUUUAUAUUUUAUGUGCAGAAAACCCAGCAUAAAAAAAUUAUAAGAAGCUGACUUUAACUAACUCAAAGUUACUCAAAGAAGUGCAGUUUUCUUUUUUUUUUUUCCCUAAAACUUACUUAUGCGAAGAUGUUAUCUUAAGGUGAGAGCAUGAGACUACAAAUUAAAACACAGCACUGCCCUGUCACAUGAACACAGAUACACUCUUUGGUGUUCAGAGGAUUUCAUGGCAACUUUUAUUUUAGUUUCUGUUGACUAUUUGAAGAAUUGUAUGAGUGGACCUCUUGUGAAAAAGCAAACUGCUAACCUAGUACUUGUAUAAAAAAAAAGUAGAUCUUCUGCUCCUGUUGUGUCUUACAGAUGGGCGCAGCCCUGCAGCUUAGUCUUUCCCAGAGCCUUACAGGGAGCUAUGCAAAGGACAGCCAUGUGAGCUGGAGUACGGCCACCUCUGCAACUGACCUUAGCAAGACUCCUUGCAGAAAUAAAAAAAAAAUAACAAUCUUGUAAAGCCCAUAACUUCUCCAAUCACAUCCAAUAGCUUUACUAAAACUUCUUCUAUCACAUUCCAAAGAAAGCUGCUGUACCCAAUGAAAAAUUUUCCAUUCCAAACCCAAAUGAAAUAAUUAUAAGGGAAUGUCAGCUAAUGAGAUUCCCUCCUCCCCCAGCUUUGAUCAUUUCUAAUGGAAUUAUUCAUUCAAUAUACAUGUUAUAUGUGUAAUAAAUAAAUUUAUAAAUAAAUCAGCACGUAAGCAGUAAUGAACAUACAAAGAAUGCUCAGUAUACCGUGCCCACUGAUGAUGCAGGGAUUAUGUUCUUUGUAUACGGCAUAUGGUGAAAUGGCAUAGAAACUUAAAGUGUUUAGAUCAGACUAAUUAACUGCAUUACUUAUUUUAAUAGUAGAUACUUCAUACAAACUUUAUCAUCUAAUACUCAUCCAAAAUAGUUUUCCCCUAUUUUACAUGAAGUGUGAUUAAGUUAGGAGAUGAGCUUAAAACCUAGCAAAUUGUCAUGGUCAGACACAUACCCUGCAAACUAAAAAGAAAAGUGACAAGCCUCCCUCAGCACACUGUUGUAAGAUUUUUCUUGAUCUCGUUGGUGCUCACAACAGAGAAACUCAACCAAACUGUUUUUCUGUGCGCUCACCGGGCAGUGUUAUCCAUAGAUCAUAUUAAAAGUAGAAUUCCUACUUUUAAAACAACUGUCAUGAUGGUGUGCACUUCUGCUGCUUGUAAUGAAUUCAGUGACAUGCACCCAGGGAUGCAGGGAUACAGUCUGCAAGAAGCAAAGAUACCAGUAGUUCAUGGUUCAAAAAUAGCUGAUCUUAGACUUCUAAUGGCUAAAAACUCUGACGUCACUGGACAAAAUAAAACAAGGUAAGAAAGCAGCUACAUAUAGAACUAACAUUUAUGCUUGACUAGAGGCAGUGAGAAAAUAAUGAAAUUGGUUAGCUGAUGAGACACCCUACAGGAAUUUUUCACAAAAACAGGAAAACAGUGUUAAACUGACAUUUACUCAGCAAGCCACCAACCAGAAGUGCUCGGGGCACCCCCUACACUGAAGCAAAAUGCCAGAGCUGUAUAAUAAUUAGACUUUGAUGGAUCCCACUGACAUCCCAAAGGCUGUUCAGUUUCUAUUUUUUAUUUCUUUCAUCUGAUCUUCGUCCAUAAUUUGACAAACUAUUUUUAAGUGCCUGUUUUCCUUGUGACUUAUAUAUUCCAGGCUCACAAAACAAAUUAACUCAAUAUCUUCAACUGAUCACUGACACAGUUAUAUGUUGUUUAACUGGCACCAUAAUCUGAAAUCCAGUCAGUUUAGAAAUCCAGAAGUAGUGACAAAAUCUAAUCACUUCAAAAAUACUGAAUAACAUAAUCCUACAGCCAAGAUCCCCCCAGCUUGCAUGCUCGUAAGUCAUGUCCCUCUAUUAUUUUCAUUUUUUACUCUCUGAAUUAUACUCCACUGAGUAAGAGAUGUAUAAAAAUAAUCAUAAAGCUUUUGUGCAGAAAAAUUCUGUGUUGCUCAGAAAGGAGCUCAGAAAUGGUCCUCAAUAGCAAAGGCAGACAGCACACAUACAAAAGGUAGAUGUUCACCAUCACAGUCAUAAAGAUGGCGGGGGGGAAUAGGAAUACGGGAGAUAACAUUUUGUGCAGUGAUUUUUCCUUCUGUAUUACAAGACGUUUUCGGCUAAAGAAAAACAUCUGAAAGAUAAACUUGUGAGGAAAGAUUUUCAAGUGUGUAGACUGCUACUUCAAAGAAGAAAGGAAGAAAAUGUUUUCUGUGUUUGCUCUGAAUAGCAUAAGUAGUGGACAUAAAUAGUAACAGGAGAGAUUUAGCUUGAUAUUAAAAUGGAGAGUCUGCAGAGGCUAUAGCAUCUCCAUUAUUGAAAGAAUUACAGUUGAGUUUUCUUUGGGGAGAACAAACCUGCUAAGUUCCUUUAACCUGAUUUGUAAUAAUUUCUUGCCACAAAAAGCCAUAAUCAAAAAAAUCCUUUAAUUUCUCAGAACCCAAAUUAAUGUAUAAGUAUGUCAAAUCAGCACAGAAAUAUAAUCAGCUAAUUACACAGGCUUUUCUUCAUUAAAGAGCAGAAAGUACUAGUGAACAGGGUUGAUUUAUCUGUAUGUGCACUUGGGGCAGGAUUCAGCUGCUCAGGCACCAAUUUAGUGCCUUUUAAGCCACUUCACCAUACCCAACUAGAGCAAAGUAGAUACAAUAAGCACAUCUGAUCUCAUCAGUAUUCUGAAUCCUAUUCUGUCUGCUACUCAGAGGAGAAAUUGGGAAAGGUGGCAGGAACUCAAUUUGAGACAAAUAUAGGAAAGCUUCUCUGUACUUUUUGUUACAAUAGCAUUUGAACUUACAGGUCUGCUACCUACUAAGGCUAACAUAGAUUUAACCUACUAACUUUAAGUAUUAAUGUUUUAUCUUUCUUCUCAAUUUUAAAAUGAGAUUUGAAAAUCUAUUCAUUCCUAGAAACUGUCCACAAAGACUAGAAACCAUUUUCACAAUUUGUUUUUAACAAAGCUUUCUGACAUUUUAUCUAACAGACUAUAAGAAUGGCUCUGAUUUUAAGAUGUUUCACACUUUGUGAAUUUGUUUAGAGGAGCUAAUCCUUCUGCUAAAGAGAAGUUGUCAAAAAAAAAAAACUUACUGUUGAUCUGUAGCACAAAUUCAUCCAUUUUUGUGUAUUUACAUUUUCCAACAGGAAUUUUUGCAUCCUCAGAAUUCAAAUUAUUUCUUUAAUAUUCCAUUGUUUUAUUCAUCUCUGAAUAUUGAAAAUGAGCAGUAGGCUUUAAUGCUAUAACGUGAUGGAAAGUACUGUGAUAAUAUCAGUGUAGCAAAGUCUUUGACUCCAACAAAGGAGGAGAAGCUCAAACACAGCAGCUAUACAUACAGAAAUGAAGGAAAAGAGCUGCUUACCUCUAGAAGGCCACCAGUACAAGAGAGAGGAACCUCCAGCAAAACACCCCUAUCUCCACUGCCAAUUCUUAAAUGAGGUCUAGGAAGGGGUGGAUCCUGGCUCCAUCUAUUCUGGUCACUCAGGUUCUUUGCAUGCACCUGAGCUCCCCUGGGUUGGCCCUGCCUUCCCAACAGGUGUUCAAUCACUGCUUUAAGCUGUGACUUAGCAUUUCCUCUACACAGAUAGUUAGCAUUUUUUAGUAUCCUGCUUGAAGGUUAAAGCUGGAUAAUAACAAGUGAUUUGUUUUCUACCUGUCAUGUUUGUGCUAUAUAAUAAAGCUUUAAUAAUUAGAAAAAUACUCAGAUACUACGGUGAUGGACAUAGUACAAAGAGAUGAAUAUGUCAGGUGAUUUUGUAAAUUUCAUUUUCUGAACCUCAGCAAAAUUAAAAGGCAUGAAGGGGUAAAGAGGAAUUUCCUAAAGGAAGUUCACAGUAUCAUAAGUUAACCAAUAAGUAGUCAGUAAUUAUAAGGUACUGGUAAGGGAGAUAUGCAUCUCUCAAAAAAUUGUAUUUACAUUUAAGUAAAACAGUAAAGACUUGCAUUGCAUUAUACAAUCAGUGAUGAACUCUACAGUAGAAGGAAAGUUGCUCGUACAAUUUUGUCAUAUGUUCUUUGCAAGAAUGCAUCUUUUUUAGUUGUGAUUAUGGACAACAAAUGCUCACUUUUGGAAUACGUGUAUUCCUUUGUAAUAGUAGUUUGUUGUAUAGGAUGUGCUAGUAUAAUAUGUUUUAAAAUCAAUCACAGAAGGAAAUAAUAUCUGAAUGGACAACUCUAAUUAAAAAAUUUAACAUUUGUUCCUUUCAUUAUUUUGAAUGUCCCGUAGAAAUAGAAAUUCACCACUUGAAGGAUAUGUGUCCGCCUCCCUAAAGCUGUGUUUAUAUUUAUCCAAAUAACACAAUAAGCUUUUGCUCCUUAAAGAAAAUAAGCAAAAGCAUGGUUUUCAACUGGAAAACCCUUUGAACAAAUCAAUUAUACCAAAGGAAAAUGUUCUACCUCCUAAGUCAUGUAAAUGAGUUUUAUAAACACCCUGGAAUUUAGUAGACACUUAAGUACUAUUCCAAUUAACUUUGUUGUGUGGAAUGAGAGAAAAAUACAAUUUCUGUGGUUUUUUUUUUUCCUGAUUGAUCUAAGCUGCGGUGAAUAAAAAUUGCACAACUGCAUCUGAAUGUUUUCUUUAAUUCUAAUUUGUAAUUAAUCUCUUUAUGCUUCCUACAUUGUCAUCUGUCUCAACAACAUUAAAUUCCAAUUUGUUGACAUCUGGUCUAGGCUAAAUCAAAUCAAAGAUGUUUGACAUUGCAGAGCUGUACUCAACAAGCUCCAGACAAACAGCAGAGAUUGGAAAGAAUUUCUCAAGCACUGUAACAGAAAUCCUUCAUACUCAAUCCACAUUGAAAAAUAAUGUGAGAACUGAGUAUUAGCAUAGAAAGAAUCAAGAAUUUGGAAGAGGAAAAAGAGGUCUAAUUCCACUUAUUUAAAUUUAUUGGCCCAGUACAUGUAAAGAACAUGAAAUGAAAUGAUGCUAAUGAGAAAAUGAGCCCAGUUCUAAAUACAGUGAACUGCAAAAUCCAACAGUGAAAACCUACAACAUUGUGUUACAAUCCAAUGUGCAACUCUGAGCUAGCAUAUAAGUAUGUAUGAAGAAAAGAAGGAUGAAAAUGUGAUCAAAUCAGAAAAUUCCAGUAUGCAGGUGUUUUGAAAGGUCUACCAGUCAUAUUUGAAAACAGACCCCACCUUAUUGUGAAUAAUGCUUCUAAUACCAUCAUAGACCAUAUCACUGGCCAUAGAUGCCUGGGGCUGUUGAGAUUUCUUCAAGAUGUCUUCUGGGGGACAGUGAGCAACUCAGGCCCAUCACUCUCAAGUUAUCAGCUGCCCCAUAGUGGCUGAGUGGGCUUCGGAAAGAGUAAACUGGAAUAAGAUGAGGCAGUUCACCACAGAUUUCCAGGAGAUUUCUUCACACCACAAUCUGGGACUCUCUCUGCUGUACUGCUGUGUCCAGCAAUUUCACUUAACUUUAUCACUUUGGCUAGAGAUCUGAGUGUGAACUGAAUGUUACCCACUAAAUUCUCUCUCUGACAUAAUUUACUCUAAAUGCUACUGGGUUGUCUUUAAGAUUAGGUGUAACAUUUGUACAAAAGCUAAAGCUAAGACUGAGACUAGGAAGUUACCACCACACUCAGCAGAUAGUCAAAACCUCUGUAACACAGUCAUACGUUUGAUUGCUAAAAAUGUAGCCUAUGUUAUGAACAUCUUAAAGCGUAAUACUAUUGCUAGUAUGUUGAUGAUUAUUUCACAAAAAUGUAAGCAUAUAUUCUAGUUAGAAUGCCUGUGCUGGGGUGGCUGAUAGCUAAGGACAUGUCUUUGUUGCAUAACGCUUUCAAAGUAUCUGUUUUUCAAGUGAACGGAUGAGUAUGCAAUUAAUAAUACAGCAAUGUCAUUACAGACGAUUGCAUCAAUAGAUUAAAGCGCCCCCAUUCUUGUUGUAAUUCAACACGAUGGGAAGAGGAGGUCAUGGCUCUAUUCAGGGGUUAAAAUUAACAGAAUGAUUCAUCAGCUUUGAAUCCAGUUGAUGAUGUCUGCAAGACUGAAUACUGGGCAAUAGCUUUAUGUUCUUAUUAAGAUAAGAAAACCUAGGAACUGAAAGACUGUCAAAUAUAUUUUCAGAGCAGAAAUAUUAAAAAUUAAACUGUAUCAGUUAAAAAACAAGCUAAUAAUUUAAGAAAUAUGCAUGUUUUACAAAUCACUGGUGAAAAGACCAAUAUAGAUAAACUCAGUUAUGUUUUCUCACCUUAAGCUCUGAUAUCUUUCUCAAAUGACUUUUUGGAAAUUAAUGACAAUCAGUAUAGAAGUACUGUGCUGAAAAGUAGUGCAAAGUAGGAGUUAAAGUGCUUAUAUAUGACAAAUAUCUGCUGCAAGGUAAAAAUCUUUGGUACUUUAUGUCGAGCUCUUCUCUUUACCUUCUUUUUUUUCUAGAAGAGGACCCUUACUUUAGAUGCAUGCGUGGGUACUGGUAUUGUUGCUGGCAUCACGGGAACAGUCAGUUACUGAAACUAGAGAAGAUUUUAUAUAUAUUUAUAGCAGUGAAAAAAAAGAAAAAAAAAAAAAGAACAUUCAUAUAAGAUAGCCAAAAGUUAGAUGGUUAGAUUCAUAUGACAACAAACUCAAAAUCAGGGCCAAGUUAAUUGGGAUGACAAGAACUCCAGUGCUUGUUACUGCAAACCUGGCAGCAGGAAUGAAAAAAUCCAGUGUCACCAUGUUAGCGUGACUGUUUCUGUCAUAUCAGUAAAGGAUUUCCACAAGAAAGGUCUGCGCAGGAAUUUGCUGUGAUCACUGCCUUCAGACUCUGCCCUGGUGCAAGAUCAACAUCCACACACGCAGGACCAAAACUGCUGUCUGAAAUACCUGCACACAGCAGGACUUCAGAACGUUGGUUAAAUGUAUGAAGGUGUGAUAGCAUAUCCCUUGCCACUUUGGAGAAAGUGGCCAGCCUGGCAAAGCACUUGACCAGUGGUGGUCUGGUCUCAAGUCCUACCACUGAUAGUGGUGGAAGUCAGCUGUUUUUCCUGCCAACCUGCUCCUACUGGCCAUGAAAGGACCUACCCACCUCAGGAUGGCCACCAAUGGCUCUUUCUGGACACAAGUUUACACAACAAAUGUGCCUUCUGCAUAGUUGCCACAGUAAUUUCUGCUCAAUCCUGACCGAUAUGGAAGAGGAAUUGAACACGGCAUAGUGUUUCUCCUUUCCUGAAGGAGUCUGAGAUAAGAAGCAAAAGAAGAAAAGAAGCUAAAAUAGCUUUCUAAAAUGAGAUGUAACAAUUAAAACUUUUUUAUUUUUAUUAUUUUAGCUAGUACAAUAAUUUUCAGAGAAUGAAAAUGAAUAUUUCAUGUCUGCCACAAUUUGUUUUAAGAUUAGGUG